GAUCUGUGGGUUUCUUCUGCAUGCCAUGAACAAUUCAGGGUACAUCUUGCAAAACUUGCAAAAUAAAUAAGAAGCUGCAGGUUAGCCUGGAAAUUCAGUGCAAGACCUUUAAAAGAGGAGGAAAUAAAAUGCUCUCCUUUGGGAAGUUACAAUGCUGCUCCUCCCUCCCGUGGUUCUGGCAGAGAUGAAUUCAUGGAAUCAGUUUUGCAGAGGGAAGCUGCAGCAGUCUCAAGGUCUUGCAGUGGUGUUCAAUGUACGUGAGCUGCUCUGUUUCAUAUUCUUACCCAGCCAAAAGAUUGUUUGCAAUUUUUGUAAUUUUAUUAUUUAUCUUUUGCAUUCACAGGUUUUCUUAACGCUCCAGCUGCUGAAGCCGUUACCAGAAAGGAUGGG
rnacentral:lncRNA from 1 species